rnacentral:lncRNA from 14 species
CAGAGGGAGGAGCACGGAGGUGCCCGGCCGAGGAGGCCUCGAGCCCCGGGCGCAUGGCCGAGGGUGCGGGCACUGCGCAGGGGGCCCCAGUUGAGCCCCAGCGGGAUAGGCCUCACGUAAAGGUUGAGCGGCUCCAGGGUCCGCAGGGUUCCCUCCCUUUGGCCAUACGGAUCCCGCAGAGCUCCCCGAGCAUUCUGGGCAGGGUCGGCCCAGGAGGGGAUCGCGCUCUGGAGACCUCCAAGGCCUGGAGGAGCCGGCUCAGAUUGGGCUGGGCUGGACCGGGGGCAGCAAGAGAAGUGCGGAGGGAUUCUCUCACACCCAGCUGCCCACGACCACAUUCCCCAGCUCAGGGGACACAACAUGGGGUAAGGAAUCAGCUCCCAUCCCACCCGCAGCUCCUGCCAUGCUGGGGAGGCAGAGCUGAUCCUUUCCAUCAGUGCAGCAUUGUUGUGUGCAUGCUCCCUCCUCAUGCCCUGAGAAAGCACAGCCAAGACAGCCAGGCAGCUGCCCCUUUGUAGGCUGGAAGGGGUGAAUUCUCCAAAGGCUGAUGCUCCCUCCCAGUGCCUUGCCAUUUUCUGGUCCUCCAGCAGGGCUGAGUGGGGUUGUGAGAGCCACGGGCUCCCUCCGGAGCCCCCUCUCUGCCUUUUACACCUCUGUUCCCCGCCCUGUGGAACCCAGUCCCUGCACUUUGUCAAGGGCCAACACCAGCUCCUCUCAGAUUUACCUGGGGACAUCAAACAGGUGAAAAACCCAACCGAGCAUCCCUGGCUACACAGGAAGGGAAUCUGCCUGCAAGGUCUUUCAGCAGAAGCUAGAGGCAAAUGAACCAAAUCGGGUCAUUUCUCCCUUCUUAAUCAGUUCAUAGUGUGGCCCUGCCUUAUAUCCUCUCAAAAGUGCCACAGCCAAGAUGCCAGCAGUGUUUUGGUCCACAACUGGUGUCAGCCUGCAGCUGAAGCUGGUCCCUGUGCAAGCCUGGAAUGCUGUACACUUCCCAGCUCCUGGUGCAUGCUUUCAUGUCUUCCUGGAGAAGCCAGCAUAUGCUAAUGAUAGAGGAGCUGUGCUCAGCCUUUGGUCUAAGGGAUCUGGGGCUGUGUCCAAGCAGCCUGACGUUGUGCACACAACAUUUGUGUGGUGUGAUUUGCAGAGCCUCCCUGUGAGCCCUUCACUCCCAUCUCUGAGAGCUGCAAAGGGGUGUUUCUGGUAGCACCAUUAGCUCCCUGUCAGGUUGGCUUGUGAGCCGCAAGCCUCCCAGCAUCACUUCUGCAGUGAGAGCAUUCAGUUCAGCUUCAGCACUGACAAUAUUCAUCUCAAAUUCAUUCUUCUCUCUGGCUUCCCCAAAGCAAGGCUGGCCUGACCCAGAGCUGGUGUUUGAUGGCUUGGGGGGACUGUUAGCACCCAGUAUACCCUUCUAGCGGCAGAGCUGUGCCUGGGUGGGAGCCGGCGUGCCUCUGAACUGGGCAGUUUCGGGAGGAAGCGCACUAGAUGGUGCUGUUCAACCUUUGGCUGCGAUCUGAGAGG